AUUAUAUAUAAAUAUAUAUGAGCUAGGAUAGUAUACUAUUAGUAUAAAUAUAUAGAGUUGAGCUAGAAUACUCUCAAAAGCACCAAGGAAGUGGUGCUUUUGAGUUUUUAACCUUUUGAUGGAGAAACGUAGGGUUGGAAUGAUGGUGAUAAAUAGUGAUAGGUAGAAUAGUGUUUGAUCCAAGGACUAUUAGUAAUCAAGCAGUAGAUUCAAGAAGUAGAAACUUAAAAGUACCAAAGGGCCUAGUGUUUCUAAAAAUAUUCUAGCUCAAUAAUAUAUAUAUAUAUAUAUAUAUAUAUAUAGAACUAGGCUACCAUACUAUUAAUAGCACCAAGUCGUUGGUGCUACCAAGUUUUUGGCCAUUGGAUUAAGAGAUGUGUGGUUAGGAUGAUGUGGGCCCCCUAGGGUUGAGU
rnacentral:lncRNA from 1 species